rnacentral:tRNA from 1 species
GGCUCCAUAUUGUAGUGGUUAGCACGUCUGUUUUGCAUGCAGAAGGUCCUGGUCUCGUGCCCCAGGUGGAGCCA